UACGUAGGGUGCGAGCGUUAAUCGGAAUUACUGGGCGUAAAGCGUGCGCAGGCGGUUUUGUAAGCCAGAUGUGAAAUCCCCCGGGCUUAACCUGGGAAUGGCAUUUGGGACUGCAAGGCUUGAGUGCGGCAGAGGAGACUGGAAUUCCUGGUGUAGCAGUGAAAUGCGUAGAUAUCAGGAGGAAUACCGAUGGCGAAGGCAGGUCUCUGGGCUGACACUGACGCUCAUGCACGAAAGCGUGGGGAGCAAAGG
rnacentral:rRNA from 1 species